rnacentral:rRNA from 1 species
AUUGAACGCUGGCGGCAGGCCUAACACAUGCAAGUCGAACGGUAACAGGAAACAGCCUUCUGUUUCGCUGACGAGUGGCGGACGGGUGAGUCAUGUCUGGGAAACUGCCUGAUGGAGGGGGAUAACUACUGGAAACGGUAGCUAAUACCGCAUAAUGUCUCAAGCCCAAAGAGUGGGACCUUCGGGCCUUUUGCCCUCUGAUGUGUCCAGAUGGGAUUAGCUAGUAGGGGGGGUAACGGCUCACCAAGCCAACGAUCACUAGCUGGUCUGAGAGGAUGACCAGCCCCACUGGAACUGAGACACGGUCCAGACUCCUACGGGAGGCAGCAGUGGGGAAUAUUGCACAAUGGGCGAAAGCCUGAUGCAGCAAUGCCGCGUGUAUGAAGAAGGCCUUCGGGUUGUAAAGUACUUUCAGCGGGGAUGAAGGGAGUAAAGUUAAUACCUUUGCUCAUUGACGUUACCCGAAGAAGAAGCACCGGCUAACUCCGUG